rnacentral:rRNA from 1 species
CCUACUCUUGACAUCCAGAGAACAUUCCAGAGAUGGAUUGGUGCCUUCGGGAACUCUGAGACAGGUGCUGCAUGGCUGUCGUCAGCUCGUGUUGUGAAAUGUUGGGUUAAGUCCCGCAACGAGCGCAACCCUUAUCCUUUGUUGCCAGCGAUUUGGUCGGGAACUCAAAGGAGACUGCCGGUGAUAAACCGGAGGAAGGUGGGGAUGACGUCAAGUCAUCGUGGCCCUUACGAGUAGGGCUACACACGUGCUACAAUGGCGUAUACAGAGGGAAGCGAGAGUGCGAGCUGGAGCGAAUCUCACAAAGUACGUCUAAGUCCGGAUUGGAGUCUGCAACUCGACUCCAUGAAGUCGGAAUCGCUAGUAAUCGCAAAUCAGAAUGUUGCGGUGAAUACGUUCCC